CCAGCCCUUCAGCUUCUCCCCUGUGGAUUCUGGAAGCUUCCACUAUCCUGCUAGUAAAUUUCCUCUUUGUUCAAGAGGGCCAGAGGCAGUUUCUAUUGCUUGCCUUCAAGAACCCCCAUCAUACCAUGUACCCAGCAAUUCCACUCCUAGGUCUUUGAGGAAUCACCACACUGUUUUCCACAAUGGCUGAACUGAUCUAGACGCCCACAAACAGGGUAUAAGCAUUCCCUUUUCUCUGCAACCUCGCCAGCAUCUGGUUGUGGUUGAAUAAUAGCCGUGCUAACAGCCAUUCUGACUGGUAUGAAAUGGUAUCUCAUCGUGGUUUUCAUUUGUAUUUCUCUAAUGAUGACUGAUGAGCUUUGUUUCAUACGCCUGUUGGCCGCAUGUUUUUCGAGUGUCUUUUCAUACCCUUGGCCCACUUUUUAGCGGGAUUGUUUAUUUUCUUGAAAAUUUCUUGUAAAUAAGUUCCUUAUAGAUGCUGGAUGUUAGACUUACACCAUAUGCAACAAUCAACUUAAGAUGAUUUAUACACUUCAAUGUAUACGUGUGUAAAACUAUAAAAACCGUGAAAGACAACCUAGGCAAUACCAUUCUGGACCUAGGAAUGAGCAAAGAUUUCAUGACAAAGACACCAAAAGCAAUUGCAACAGAAGCAAAAACUGACAAAUGGGAUCUAAUACAACUAAAGACCUGCAACAGCAAAACUGAGUAAACAGACAACCUGCAGAAUAGGAGAACAUUUUGCAAACUGCAUCUGUCAAAAGUCCACCUUUUUUUUAACCUAGCAUUAUUCUAAACAAAAAUAUUCAUAGACUCAUUGGUUUGCUGUGCUCAUUGUAUUUUCCCCAAACAUAUAAAAAUCAGCACUAGAAAGUAAAAUGUAAAAUGUCUGCCAUCCUCCCUGUCACUUCUAUUCCUACAGUUUGGGAACCCUAUACUUGAAGAUUCCAUUUCAAGCACAAGCACAAGUUUGUAGCUUGUCGAGGAGCCCAGAGGGUAGAGACCACAGUCCUCCCUGUGCGCUUCCUUCAGUCAUCACAGUUUUGUUUUUGUUUUUGUUUUUUUGAGACAGGGUUUUGCUCUUGUUGCCCAGGCUGGAGUGCAAUGGCGAGAUCUCGGCUCAAAGCAAUCUUCGCCUCCCAGGUUCAAAUGAUUCUCCUGCCUCAGCCUCCCAAGUAGCUGGGAUUACAGACAUAUGCCACCAUGCCUGCCUAAUUUUUUGUAUGUUUACUAGAGGUGGGGUUUCACCAUGUUGGUCAGGCUAAUCUCAAACUCCCGACCUCAGGUAAUCCACCCAUGUUGGCCUCCCAAAGUGCUGGGAUUACAGGUGUGAGCCACCAGCACCCAACCACAGAUGUUUUAAUCACAGGCCUCAUGUGGCCUGGCCCUGCUCUGGGGAUGGGUGUUCUGGUCUGCUCAAAGAGGAGAGCUGCCACAGGGCCAGCCCCAUUCAGUAACCAGAUGGGUUGCUGGGGAUGGUCAUUGUUAUUCUAAUUUUGCUGAGAAAGACAUUGUCUGAGAAACAUUAACUAAUAUACCACAAGAAAACAAAACAGAUCUUUUGACAGUUCCAGUACUCUUUUAACUAUUGGGUUAAUGCAAAAGAAAUUGCAGUGGCCGGUAUAAUCUCUGUAAUCCCAACACUUUGGGAGGCCGAGGCAGGAGGAUCACAAGGUCAGGAGUUUGAGACCAGCCUGGCUGACACAGUGAAACCCCAUCUCCACUAAAGAUACAAAAAAUUAGCAGGGUGUGGUGGCGGGCAUCUGUAAUCCCGGCUACUCAGGAGACUGAGGCAGGAGAAUUGCUUGAACUCGGGAGGCAAAGGUCGCAGUGAGCUGAGAUGGCAGCAUUGCACUCCAGCCUGGGUGACAGGGUGAGACUCCGUAUCAAAAAAAUAAAAAAUAAAAAAUCGCAGCAUUUCGCCAUCACUUUAAUGGCAAAAACUGCAAUUGCCAUAGAAGAGUAUCAUUUUAACGGCAGAAACCACAAUUAGUUUUGCACCAACCUAAGAUAUCAUAGUGGGUCCUGAAGUUGGACAUUUUGGGGUGAUGUACUUGUAGUCUUUAUCAAACCAGGUCAUGCAUGUAUCUGCCACAUGUGCCUGUGGGUAGGAUCAGUAUCAAGGAAUGAGACACGAGUUCGGCUCUUUUUAGGGGUAGAAAGGGUAUAAUACCUUUCCCUCCCAUCAUAAGGGGCACAGCUGACACUCCUAUAACAAAAGACAGGUUAACAAGAGAAAAAGCUAACUGAUUUAUGUAAUCAAAAUUACUGAUACAGGAGCCUUCAGAAAUGAAGACCAAAGGGAAAACUGUCCACUUUUAUUUUUAGAUUUGAUGAAGGGUGGACAGCUAUGUAGAAAUGUGAUUGGACAAAAAGAGAAUAAUGUAAUAGUAACAGACAGCGUGGGGAAACCCAGCACGGCCUGUCUGCUUAGGUUCUUCUUUGUCUCUGUGUGAUAUUUCUUCCUCCCAGGUGAGAAGCAGGAUCCUUUUCGGAAUGAGGAUCUUAUUACCCACUAUUGAACAAGAGUAGGGCAGAUAAUUUCUUUAUGACCAGCUCCUACACAGAGAGGUGGGGGAAGGUUAAAGUCAUAUUUCUAGGUUGUAUGGUUUGCCCUGGGGGAAAGGGGCUCUAGUGUCUAUGACGUGCUUUGGGGAAGAGGCAUUCUGGGUUCUAUGACUUGCUUCGGGGGAGCAUGAAGGGCAACAGACAGAAGGGCAGGAGAAAGUCAGAGCCUGUUCUGAGGCUGCUUGCAAGGCCUUCCACUGUCCUUUAAUUCAAGGUACUCAGCAUGCCUAAGUGUUAGGGUAUUUUUUCAGAAACAGCUUCUAUGAUGAAAAUUCCAUCCACUGAAUUUCCAGCAUUUCCAUAUUUCGGUGAUAAGCAGUAACAAACUCCCCUGUUACUCUUUCCUCACACUAUCCCAUUUAUAGUUAUUAGCUCAAAAUCUCUAUUCCCCACUAGUCAGAAACCAUGUCUUUCUUACUAGUUGCUGUGUCUGCAACUAAUAAGAAGCAGGCAAUUCGAAGCAGGCCAGUAGAAGCAGGCCACAUAGGCUCCUAAUAAAUCUCCAUUUAAUUAACUAACAGUCCCUUACCUCAAGGACCAUAUAGACCACAGUGUGUGUGGCUGGGAGGUGGAAUGGGUAGGCUGAGACAAGGACACAGACAAGGGGCAGAAUUUACCACGGUGCACAGGUGCCUGCACAAUAGGCAGGGGGUGGGUGAGCCCUUCAGCCUCUUCAUCCCUGUCUUUUACAUCCUCUGCAUGGAGGAGGCUGUUGCCACCACCUGGGUCCAUUGGUAGGGGUGGUUUCCAUCUGUCCAGAAAGGAGAGCAGAGCAGAGCAGUGAUGCAUUUAUUCCAUCCAACAAAUGACUGUUGACAGCCAGCCCCAUGCAGAGCCCCCUGCCAGGCACCAUAGAGGAGGCAACUGUAACUCAGCCCUGCACUGAGUCCUGUGCACUCAGUCCUGAGUUCACAAAUUCAGCAGCCCAGGCCUGCCAUGUCCUUGCUCAGUGUUCUUUCCACAACAUCACUGCCUUCCACAAGUGAUGCCCUAGCUGCCAGAUACAGGAGGAUUCUUCUAGCACUAUGCAUGAGGAGGCUAUACAAAGAGUUUUCUGCUGAGAUGUACUUACACAGGUACCUGCAGCAUGCUCAGUGCAAGGGUGCGAUGGAAGAAAGACUCAUCUUCGCCCCAGGGAGCUUACAGUGGUAGCUGUGUCUGUAGGCCAGGUCAGAUGGAGGAGAUAAGAGGGGCCUGCUCUCAGUCAGUAGUCUAGACAGGAUGUGGGGUUAGUGUCUGGGAAGCUGGGAGCAGGGGAGCCAUGGGCAGAGGGAGGGAGGAGCAGGUGUCAGGAGCUCAUGAAGUACUUGGGAUCUGGGGCUUCAGUAACCUAUGGCUUCCUGGGUGGGUCUAGUCAUAGGAUGAGGCACUUACCCCAAUGUAACAAGCCCACAUGUUCCUUCAGCAGCCCCUGACCUUCUUUGGACCAGCAAUCACAGUGGGCAUGAAGGCUUUCUGCUUUUUGCUUCCUGUUUUCAGCAGUCUUUUCCCAUUAGGUUUCUGCUCUUCAGGCUACAGGAGCACCAAGGCCUGUUUUCUGAAAUGUGUGUGCUCACUUAACAGUGGGUGAACCAAUGUGGACACGAUUGCCUGAGCGAUUCUGAGGCAUGUUCAGUUGUCCAGGCAGAUCAAGGACAAAGAAACAGACUAAAGAGCAUAUGUGAAGCCUAAGUGAUGAUGUAAUGGUUGGUGUACAGCAGAGUGUCUGAACUUCAGCACUGCUGACAUUUUGGACCAGAUAAUCCUUUGUUCUGAGGGUCUGACUCGUGCAUCGCAGGGUGUCCAGCAGCAUCCCUGCCUCCACUCAGUACAUGAUAGUGAGCACCUCCCCACCUGUGACAACCAUAAAUACCUCUAGAAAUUUCCUGUGUCCCCAGGCUGUGUGUAAAAUCGUCCCCAGGGUGUAAAAUCAUCCCCUGUUAAGAACCACUGGGAUACUGGCUUUGAGUUUGAGUCCUGGUUCUACCGUUUGCUAGCUGUGUGAACAUAGGUAGCUUCUUUAAUCUGUGGCUCAGUUUCUUUAUCUGUAAAAUGGGAAGAAUAAUAAUACCUACCUCGUAGGAUGGUUAUGAAAUGAGUUAAUAUGUGUAAAGAACAGUGUCUAGCUAUAGCAAGCACUCACUAAGUACUGGCUGUUGUUCUUAUCACAGAAAUAAAAUGUAGAUAAAAUGAAUGUCAAAAAGACUCCUCCAUAAUUACCCCUUGUAGUACAGAAAUAAGAAAUUUAAUUCAUUUAUUUUCUGUCCUGCUUGUUUCCAGUAAACCAUUAGGUAGUUUAAAACCACACACAUUACUGGGCAAUUUAAAAUGGAGUCAGAUUAAUAACCAUUAAAAUUGGAGGAAAAACUGAAGAGGGAAAAGUUAAUUCUGUCAAGAACUCAAAAUCAGAUGUAGUGUUCACUUUAGCAAGUAACAGAAUCCUGAGCAGCCACUGCAAAAUAAGACACAGCCAAGAAAACUCACCAUCAGGGCCUCCAGGAGAAAUCAGCUUUUUCGACUAAGUCCAAAGGAGCUUUUUGUCAAGUGAGUCCUAACACAAGGUAUUUGAAUAACAAAAUGGGUGUUUCACCAGCAGUUCUAGAGACAAUGUUUACAUGUGUCUUGGAUAUGGUUCAGCUGUGUCCCCACCCAAAUCUCAUCUUGAAUUCCCGUGUGUUAUGGAAAGGACCCAGUGGGAGAUAAUUGAAUGAUGGGGGCAGGCCUUUCCCAUGCUGUUCUUGUGAUUGUCGAUAAGUCUCACGAGAUCUGAUGGUUUUAAAAAGGGGAGUUUUCCUGCACAAACUUCUCUUGUCUGCCACCGUGUGAGACGUGCCUUUUAUCUUCAUGGCCUCACUGUGAUUGUGAGGUCUUCCCAGCCACAUGGAACCGUAAGUUCAAUUACAUCUUUUUUCUUUUGUAAAUUGCCUAGGCUUGGGUAUGUCUUUAUCAGCCGCAUGAAAACAGACUAAUAUGUGCUUCAUCAAUAUUCACCAGCAAUAAAGGCUUAUUUAAAGCACUGCAACCAUGCAGCACUACUCUGGCCAAGAAUGUGCCUUACAAAAGGAACUCCCAACCCUAUCACCAAAGAAUGAAUUCCCUGGUAAAUCCCACCCCUGUAGUAGCAAGCUGGAGUUGGCAAGAGAAGCAGCCUCUCUCUCCUGGCUGCCUGGCUGAGCUGCAGGUCCUGCUCCAGGGAAACUGGCAGGGCUGGUCACUGGUCACUAUUGCCCACUGCCAGCUGCCUCAGCAGUCCAGUCCCACUCUCAGUAAAGGGGGCCCCACCGUGAGGUGUGGCACUGGGACUCUGGAGCCAAACUCUUCCACUGCUCUGUUCUGAAUGGCUCUCUGAGGAGAAGUAAGAGACAGAGGCCAGUACUGAGUGUGUGAAGUGAAGGGAGUGACUACAGAGUGAAGGCUGAGUGCUCCAGGCCAAAGGAAAACAGUUAUCAGGACAGGAUGUAUGGUGAGAGCAAAAUCCUGCCCUCUUAAUUUCACUGUGCCUCAGUUUCAUCUUCUGUAAAAUGGGGAUAAAAUUGAUCUUAGGGAGUAAUUGUGCAGAUUAAGAGAGUUUUAUGUAAAGUGCCUAGAGCAAGGCCUGACACACAGCAAACAUUAACUAUUGUUACGGUUAAUAACACUCAGCACUCUUGUGUACAUCCUAUACUGAAGCAACACAGCUCCUUGAGCGUAGGGAGUAACAAGAAAGGUUUCUGAACCUUUUAUUCACUGUGUGACCCUCAGCCUAGAGCCAAAUAAUGGGACCAAGCAUUUCUUUGUGGCCUAUUGGAGAACCCCUAAGCAUGGGAUACUAGUGUCCACUCUGCCACUAACUGAUACCCUUGCCAGUAUGGCCUUGGGGAAGUCCCUGCUCCUCUCUGGCCCUCAGUUCACUCACUAAAAAAUUAAUUGGUGGGUCUAAAAAUUUGAUUAUACAUUAUAAUCACUUGAAGACAUCAAAAAAUGCAGAUUCCCAGACUCUGCCAAUCAAAUCCAAGUUUCUGGAAAUGGAGGUUGAGAAUCUGCAUUUUAGUGAGCUCCCUAGACGAUCGUGAUGUUGUCAGGUUUGAAAGCCACUGACUACAUCAGCUCUAAGGCCCCUGUCAAUAUUCAGAUUCGUAAGAUACAUUGAUUAUAUACUCAUGGAGCAGAAAGGAGCUUUGAGUGGUCAUGUGCCUUAGAGGACCAGGGCAGAUGGCUGCUUUCCUGUGGAAAAGCUAUGCUAGUGCUCUGGUAACUCUUCCAGGGUUUAAUUUUUCCUGGCAUUAGGAAGAUACAUUUUCUAUCUAAUCAAAUGCUUCAUCUCAGCAAUUUACCUCCCACUCUGCUGGCUUUGAACUUAAGGGUGUAGAGAAGGGCUGGUCAGUACCCUGUCAGUAUCGCCCUUCAAGUACUUGAGUGCUGCUGGAGGUCAGACUAGACCUGACGUAUUAUUACUGAUGAAAAUGUCUCUUGACUUUGGCCCUUCCUUUUCAUUCCAUUGCAGCUGCCCAAGUUUAGGCUGCUAGCAGUCUUGUUUGGACCAUAUAACACCUUUCUUUCUUUCUUUCUUUUGAGAUGGAGUCUUGCUCUGUCACCUGGGCUGGAGUGCAGUGGCACAGUCUCAGCUUAUGGCAACCUCCACCUCCUGGGUUCAAGGGAUGCCCCUGCCUCAGCCUCAUGAGUAGCUGGGACUACCUACAGGCAGCAAUUGGAGAUGCCUUGGAUGUCCCAGAGCAGCGGCAAGGUUUACCACUUGGCCUCAGCUGAUGGAACCACUUGCAAUGGAAGGACUGAUAUCUCGGUCAGGUAACAGGCUGCUCCAGCUUAUUCUCUCUUCUCCUCCCCCUCCUUCUCCUCUGAGUUGAUCAUAUUUCCUUGGUGAUUUUCAUGCUUAGUCAUUAGAUCGUAGGGAACAAGUGAAUACCCCACUGGGACCUUGUCCAUAUAAACUACUAUGUACUAAUUAAUGUUUUCCUCUGUACUGCAUCUUUCUUCCUCCCUUCCUGGCACAAGUAUUUAUUUAACACCUACUGUGUGCUAAGUGGUAAGCACUAUUGUAGAGAAAAAAAGACCUGGGGAUGCUGUGUAUGAAAUAGAAAUGCCACAGUCCUCAUUAGCAGAAAAAUACACU